rnacentral:rRNA from 1 species
AGUUUGAUCCUGGCUCAGGAUGAACGCUGGCGGCGUGCUUAACACAUGCAAGUCGAACGGUGAAGCGGAACGCUGACGGCUCUGUACUGGAUACGAAAUCCGUGGAGGCAUCUUCAACGUCGGUGAAAGAUUUUUUGGGUCAGGGAUGGGCUCGCGGCCUAUCAGCUUGUUGGUGAGGUAAUGGCUCACCAAGGCGUCGACGGGUAGCCGGCCUGAGAGGGUGACCGGCCACACUGGGACUGAGACACGGCCCAGACUCCUACGGGAGGCAGCAGUGGGGAAUAUUGCACAAUGGGCGAAAGCCUGAUGCAGCAACGCCGCGUGAGGGAUGACGGCCUUCGGGUUGUAAACCUCUUUUAGCAGGGAAGAAGCGAAAGUGACGGUACCUGCAGAAAAAGCGCCGGCUAACUACGUGCCAGCAGCCGCGGUAAUACGUAGGGCGCAAGCGUUAUCCGGAAUUAUUGGGCGUAAAGAGCUCGUAGGCGGUUUGUCGCGUCUGCUGUGAAAUCCCGAGGCUCAACCUCGGGUCUGCAGUGGGUACGGGCAGACUAGAGUGCGGUAGGGGAGAUUGGAAUUCCUGGUGUAGCGGUGGAAUGCGCAGAUAUCAGGAGGAACACCGAUGGCGAAGGCAGAUCUCUGGGCCGUAACUGACGCUCAUGAGCGAAAGGGUGGGGAGCAAACAGGCUUAGAUACCCUGGUAGUCCACCCCGUAAACGAUGAUAACUAGUUGUGGGGUCCAUUCCACGGAUUCCGUGACGCAGCUAACGCAUUAAGUUCCCCGCCUGGGGAGUACGGCCGCAAGGCUAAAACUCAAAGGAAUUGACGGGGACCCGCACAAGCGGCGGAGCAUGCGGAUUAAUUCGAUGCAACGCGAAGAACCUUACCAAGGCUUGACAUAUACGAGAACGCUGCAGAAAUGUAGAACUCUUUGGACACUCGUAAACAGGUGGUGCAUGGUUGUCGUCAGCUCGUGUCGUGAGAUGUUGGGUUAAGUCCCGCAACGAGCGCAACCCUCGUUCUAUGUUGCCAGCACGUAAUGGUGGGAACUCAUGGGAUACUGCCGGGGUCAACUCGGAGGAAGGUGGGGAUGACGUCAAAUCAUCAUGCCCCUUAUGUCUUGGGCUUCACGCAUGCUACAAUGGCCGGUACAAAGGGCUGCAAUACCGUGAGGUGGAGCGAAUCCCAAAAAGCCGGUCCCAGUUCGGAUUGAGGUCUGCAACUCGACCUCAUGAAGUCGGAGUCGCUAGUAAUCGCAGAUCAGCAACGCUGCGGUGAAUACGUUCCCGGGUCUUGUACACACCGCCCGUCAAGUCAUGAAAGUCGGUAACACCUGAAGCCGGUGGCCCAACCCUUGUGGAGGGAGCCGUCGAAGGUGGGA